rnacentral:rRNA from 1 species
UACCGUGAGGGAAAGGUGAAAAGCACCCCGAUGAGGGGAGUGAAACAGUACCUGAAACCGAAUGCUUACAAUCAGUUGGAGGGUCCUUGAGGCCUGACAGCGUACCUCUUGUAUAAUGGGUCAGUGACUUAAUCUAUCAAGCGAGCUUAAGCCGUUAGGUGUAGGCGCAGCGAAAGCGAGUCUGAACAGGGCGACUGAGUUUGAUGGAUUAGACCCGAAACCCGGCGAUCUAGGCAUGACCAGGCUGAAGGUGCGGUAACACGCACUGGAGGGCCGAACCGUUUAAUGUUGAAAAAUUAUCGGAUGAGUUGUGUUUAGGGGUGAAAGGCCAAUCAAGCCGGGAAAUAGCUGGUUCUCCGCGAAAUCUAUUUAGGUAGAGCGUCGGAUGUUUACCUGUGGGGGUAGAGCACUGGAUGGGCUAGGGGGUCGCGAGAUCUACCAAACCUAACCAAACUCCGAAUACCACAGAGUUAGUCCGGCAGACAGACGGCGGGUGCUAAGGUCCGUCGUCAAAAGGGAAACAGCCCUAACCUACAGCUAAGGUCCCCAAAUCGUAUCUAAGUGGGAAAGCAUGUGGGAUUUCCAAAACAACCAGGAGGUUGGCUUAGAAGCAGCCAUCCUUUAAAGAAAGCGUAACAGCUCACUGGUCUAAAUAAGAGAUCCUGCGGCGAAAAUGUAACGGGGCUCAAGAUACGUACCGAAGCUUAGGGUGUGCAUUUAUGCACGCGGUAGCGGAGCGUUCCGUAAGCCUGUGAAGGGAGACCCGUGAGGGCUCCUGGAGGUAUCGGAAGUGCGAAUGUUGACAUGAGUAACGAUAAAGGGAGUGAGAGACUCCCUCGCCGAAAGACCAAGGGUUCCUGCUUAAAGUUAAUCUGAGCAGGGUUAGCCGGCCCCUAAGGCGAGGCCGAAAGGCGUAGUCGAUGGACAGCUGGUUAAUAUUCCAGCACCCCGGACAUAGUGCGGAUCGAGAAAACCCUCUGCCUUAUCAGAUUGGUAGGCCGCAAGGCCGUUGGGGGUGGAAUCGGUUCCUAGAAAAGCUAUGUCAUUAACGGGCCCGUACCAAAACCGACACAGGUAGGUGGGGUGAAGAACCUCAGGCGCUCGAGAGAACGGUUGUGAAGGAACUCGGCAAAAUUACCCCGUACGUUCGCAAUAAGGGGGCCCUACCCGUAAGGGAGGGCGCAGAGAAAAGGCCCUAGCGACUGUUUACCAAAAACACAGCUCUGUGCUAACUCGCAAGAGGAUGUAUACAGAGUGACACUUGCCCAAUGCCGGAAUGUCACGGAAGUGGGUUAGCUUCGGCGAAGCUCGCGACCCAAGCACCGGUCAAUGGCGGCCGUAACUAUGACGGUCCUAAGGUAGCGAAGUUCCUUGUCGGGUAAGUUCCGACGCGCAUGAAUAGUGUAACGACUUGGGCACUGUCUCCACA